AUGCUGGAGGUAUCAGAAGUGCGAAUGCUGACAUAAGUAACGAUAAAGCGGGUGAAAAGCCCGCUCGCCGGAAGACCAAGGGUUCCUGUCCAACGUUAAUCGGGGCAGGGUGAGUCGACCCCUAAGGCGAGGCCGAAAGGCGUAGUCGAUGGGAAACAGGUUAAUAUUCCUGUACUUGGUGUUACUGCGAAGGGGGGACGGAGAAGGCUAUGUUGGCCGGGCGACGGUUGUCCCGGUUUAAGCGUGUAGGCUGGUUUUCCAGGCAAAUCCGGAAAAUCAAGGCUGAGGCGUGAUGACGAGGCACUACGGUGCUGAAGCAACAAAUGCCCUGCUUCCAGGAAAAGCCUCUAAGCAUCAGGUAACAUCAAAUCGUACCCCAAACCGACACAGGUGGUCAGGUAGAGAAUACCAAGGCGCUUGAGAGAACUCGGGUGAAGGAACUAGGCAAAAUGGUGCCGUAACUUCGGGAGAAGGCACGCUGAUAUGUAGGUGAGGUCCCUCGCGGAUGGAGCUGAAAUCAGUCGAAGAUACCAGCUGGCUGCAACUGUUUAUUAAAAACACAGCACUGUGCAAACACGAAAGUGGACGUAUACGGUGUGACGCCUGCCCGGUGCCGGAAGGUUAAUUGAUGGGGUUAGCGCAAGCGAAGCUCUUGAUCGAAGCCCCGGUAAACGGCGGCCGUAACUAUAACGGUCCUAAGGUAGCGAAAUUCCUUGUCGGGUAAGUUCCGACCUGCACGAAUGGCGUAAUGAUGGCCAGGCUGUCUCCACCCGAGACUCAGUGAAAUUGAACUCGCUGUGAAGAUGCAGUGUACCCGCGGCAAGACGGAAAGACCCCGUGAACCUUUACUAUAGCUUGACACUGAACAUUGAGCCUUGAUGUGUAGGAUAGGUGGGAGGCUUUGAAGUGUGGACGCCAGUCUGCAUGGAGCCGACCUUGAAAUACCACCCUUUAAUGUUUGAUGUUCUAACGUUGACCCGUAAUCCGGGUUGCGGACAGUGUCUGGUGGGUAGUUUGACUGGGGCGGUCUCCUCCUAAAGAGUAACGGAGGAGCACGAAGGUUGGCUAAUCCUGGUCGGACAUCAGGAGGUUAGUGCAAUGGCAUAAGCCAGCUUGACUGCGAGCGUGACGGCGCGAGCAGGUGCGAAAGCAGGUCAUAGUGAUCCGGUGGUUCUGAAUGGAAGGGCCAUCGCUCAACGGAUAAAAGGUACUCCGGGGAUAACAGGCUGAUACCGCCCAAGAGUUCAUAUCGACGGCGGUGUUUGGCACCUCGAUGUCGGCUCAUCACAUCCUGGGGCUGAAGUAGGUCCCAAGGGUAUGGCUGUUCGCCAUUUAAAGUGGUACGCGAGCUGGGUUUAGAACGUCGUGAGACAGUUCGGUCCCUAUCUGCCGUGGGCGCUGGAGAACUGAGGGGGGCUGCUCCUAGUACGAGAGGACCGGAGUGGACGCAUCACUGGUGUUCGGGUUGUCAUGCCAAUGGCACUGCCCGGUAGCUAAAUGCGGAAGAGAUAAGUGCUGAAAGCAUCUAAGCACGAAACUUGCCCCGAGAUGAGUUCUCCCUGACUCUUUGAGGGUCCUGAAGGAACGUUGAAGACGACGACGUUGAUAGGCCGGGUGUGUAAGCGCAGCGAUGCGUUGAGCUAACCGGUACUAAUGAACCGUGAGGCUUAACCUU
rnacentral:rRNA from 1 species